GGUAUAGCACAGUGGUAGAGUGUGUGCUUAGCAUGCACGAGGUCCUGGGUUCAAUCCCCAGUGCC
rnacentral:tRNA from 1 species